UGAAGACUGACAGACGUGCACUGCAGCUUCCCACACAGACUGUGCCUGUAUGGAAUAAAGGAUAUCAGAGACAAGGUGGGGCUGGAUUCUGCCACUCCUUCCCUGAGGAUCAUAUUCUGGAUAAUAAGCUGGCAGCUGGUCUGGAUCACCACUGGAAAUUUUACUCUGUGUGAUUCUGUUCUAUUCUCUCUACACUGUUAGACACUGAUUUCAAAGGAGUUUUCAACAACAAAUGUACAGGAUUUCCUCAGCAGGGCUCCCACCACCUUGGUGUCCACGGAAAUGAAGGCCACAAGGAAAUGUCCUGCCAGGCCAAUCCCACCUGUGCCAGAGCAAGAGCCCUGGAGAUGCCUUGGGCUGCAGCUCAAGGGAGAAACAGAAAUAUAUUUACCCUGAGGAGCCUGUCC